rnacentral:rRNA from 1 species
UACGGAGGGGGCUAGCGUUGUUCGGAAUUACUGGGCGUAAAGCGCACGUAGGCGGCUGUUCAAGUCAGAGGUGAAAGCCCGGGGCUCAACCCCGGAAUUGCCUUUGAGACUGCAUCGCUAGAAUUGUGGAGAGGUAAGUGGAAUUCCGAGUGUAGAGGUGAAAUUCGUAGAUAUUCGGAAGAACACCAGUGGCGAAGGCGACUUACUGGACACAUAUUGACGCUGAGGUGCGAAAGCGUGGGGAGCAAACAGG